AAGCCAUGACUAACGUGGCUAACAAAAUAUCAGAAUUUCACACCAUAAUGCGUUAAUGGUAAACUAACCUAUCAAGUUUAUAAUUAUCAACCUUUCCCUGUCAAUUCUUUUCAUCAGACAAAGAAACUCAAUUCGGAAAGCAUUUAUAUUAAAUGAAUUCAAAAAUUUCAUUCCAUAAUUUCAUUCACAUUCACCCACCAUUCUCAUUAUAAUGGCAAACCAUAAUCACAGUUUAUAAUUUCAUUCAUGUUGAUGCACAAAACCGGAAGGUCUUAGAACAACGUAAAUCCGACUGUGAAUCAUGCAAACGCCCAAGAACACAAAGAUGUAUCGUGGUUCACCCCAAUGUUUGGGCUACGUCCACACUGAUGUUGAUUAUGUAUGUAUGUAUGGAUUACAAAAUGUUGUUGUGUUUGUGAGGGUAUUGCCCUCUGUUGAGUUCACAGAGGAAGAGAGUUGAGAGAGUUUCUGUGUUUGUAGGAGGGUUGCUCUGAAUAUGAGAGUCUCUGUUUGGAGAUGUGGGGCCUGAGGAUUCUAAGGGUGAGAAGGCUCUUUUAUAGACUAAGGGCUUCUCCCCUUUUACAUAAAUCAUGGGCUCAAUGUCUGGAAGCCCAAGUAACGAGGCCCAAUAUAAUAUGGUACCAACAGUAGUCCCCCAAGUCUUUAGUCAAGAGAGUCUUUUGGCUGGAGACUUCAAAUCCAAUCCAUGUAUGGGCCGAAGUGACUAGAUGUCUUGAACCAGUACUCAACCCAAGGCAAUGCUCAACAUAAAGCAAUACUCGGCCAGAGGUAUCACACGUUCCGAGACUGCUCGGCUGAAGGUGAUGCUAGUUGCGAGGCUGCUCGGCUAGAUGCUAUGCUCGUGGCGAGGCGUUUGCUCGGUUGGAGGCGAUGCUCGUUGCGAGGUGGCUCGACUAGAGGCUGUGCUCGCUGCAAGGCGACUCGACUCGUGGUAUUCCUCAUUGCAAGUAUCUACUUUAUGUCGACAUGCACUCAAUAUGAGUUGAUUCUCGACAUGACUCGGGUCCGCUUGUCAGGUUCGCAUAUUGGGUCUAUAUGUCUGAUCCGCGGAUCGGGUCCUCAAGUUGGGUCUUUGAGUCAAGGCCAUACGUAGGGUCAUCGAGUUAGGGCUAUAUGUAGGGUCAUUGAGUUGGGUCCAGGCACAUAAGUGUCCCAAUAAGCGAAUGUCUUAGCAAAUGGGUGUCUGGUCAGACAAGAGAUCACCAUGAGCACGUGGCUCAUCAGUCUAUAAGUUGGUAGACUUCUUUAAUUAGCAACAAUGUUGAUCAGUAGAUCUAGUUGCUCAAUAAUUUCUGACAAUAAAUGACAGUAUAAGUACGACCGUAUAAUGAAUAAAUCAAAUUGACAAAGUUUAUCAAGGAAAAAUAUUGUACUAUGUACCUUCUAUAAAUAAAUAAUUUAUUCAGUCGUGUGAUAAAUCACAUGUUGUAUAAGUGACAUAGUUUAAAGGCAAUCAUAAUAUUCUAGGCCAUGAAUAAAUAUUGUACAGGUACUUAGGUUAAAUAUAUGUCACUAGGUGACAUGUUAACAAAUAUCAUAAUAUAAUAAUAAUAAAAUAUUAAAUAAAUG
rnacentral:lncRNA from 1 species